CUUCUUUUUAAAAAGUUUCAAGGAUAGAUAGAUAGAUAGAGCCAUGUAUUGCACUAUUGAGAGAGAAAAACAAGAAAUAACUUUGUGCAGGUUGGAUCCUGAUUCUCCACCCAGAUUAAGCUGGCCCUGGCCAGGACUGGGAAAAGAGGAGGCACCUGACAAAUUUGUGCUGCUCUUGUACAGGGACAUUUUUCACAGUGCAAUUUGUGGUAAAUUCCAAAUGAGUCUGACAGGUAUAUGUGUGUGCAAGUGUAUCACAUUAUUGCUGCCUUCAUGUUUUAAUCUUUAAUUUCUUUUAGCAGCUGUGCCAAGGCAGCUCUGUUUGCCAGAAGGAAAAACAGAACUUAUUUGACUGCUGUUUCUGGAAGUUCCCUAGAGAAAGCAGCUGCAGCACACUAUUUUGGCUUCCAUCUCUUCCCUGAUACUAGUUGUCUAGUUGUAUUUUUCCUCUUCAAAAUCUUUCACUAUACCAGCGUGAUAUUUGCUGUCCCCUCUGCCAGUCUCUCUCCUGCAUUUGCUGCCCCAUCCCUGCCAAUCCCCUGACUUCCCUCCAGGGUAUUGCAUGACAGAGCCUUACAGAUUUUACCCACCUUGAAGCUGCUCUUGGAUGCUGUCAGUUUAAGUGGGGAAACACUACUUCUUUGUGGGUAGAGCUAAAGAUGACUCAAGGCUGUCCAACUCCUUGAAAGCUACAGCUGGUAUAGAACACAGCCCCAGCAGUGGUGGAUGUGUCCUGAUGUAUUCAGGCGGCUCCACUGCUUUGGAAGCUGCAUAGGUUGCCAGUUACCUUCCAGCUGUGAUUCAAGGUGCUGGGUGUUACCUUUAAGGCUCUAUAUGACUCUGGACCUGGUUUUCUUAUGGACCAGCUUCUCCUGCAUUCAUCUGUCUGUCCAACCAGCUCGAAGACGGUCAGUUCCCUCCAUCUAUACAAGAUUGUCACCUGAUGGGGUCUCAGAAGCGGGUGUUUUCAGUAGUGCCCCUAUUGUUUGCAACUCCCCAGGCAGAGAUUUGGUCAGAACAAGCUUGCCAGAUGCUGGUUUCCUUCCAGCUCCAAAUCGAUAUGACUAUCUGCAAUUUUAACGCCCUCUUAUACACUCUUUCUAUCGUGCACUGCACCUAGAGCACGUUAGAGGGAGCAGUAGUUUGUCUGUAGCCACUUCCUUUUUCUAAGUUAUUUGUAACUCAUAUUUUUCCAUUAUUCAUAUUUCUAUGUAUUUUCCCAGGUCUUACUGCUUUAAAUGGAGAGAAAGCGAAUAUAAAAAUUGCAAUGGUUUAGAUUUGUAAAUGCAGAAAAUCUGUCCAGUGUUUGAAUGUAUCACAGAUUAUGAAAUGCAUGUUAACAUUUAAAGGUCUUUCUUGCACACUGUUCAGGGAUCUAUCAUCUAUCUGUAUCUAUACUGAUCUCCCUAUCGUCCCUCCAUUAGCCAUCUCUCUUUCUCCUUCAUCGAUAUAUCCCAUCAUAUCUAUCAUCUAUCUAUCUAUCUAUCUAUCUAUCUAUCUAUCUAUCUAUCUAUCUAUCUAUCUAUCUAUCAUCUAUCUAUCAUCAUCAUCAUCAUCAUCAUCUAUUCUAGGAGUAUGAUAUAAAAGAAAUUCACUUACACCUCCAGGAAGGGGUCUACAUGCUGGAUUCAGAUCUUGAAAUGUAUUCUUAGAACAAUUUGUUUCUUUUAUCGAAUAUUCCAAAUGGUAAUUCCAUCCAUUAACCACCUGCAAGAAAAUUUAAGAGAAAUGCACAGAGCAAGUAUCUUGUUAGGAGAAAAGGGAUUAGGUUAAAUAAAACUGCACAGUGACU